UUUGCUAUAAAAUGUCCACUUUGUCCCUCUACAUUUCUAUUAAUUUCAUUAUACGGCCACUGGGACUUUACACAUAGCCGCGUGUCUCUUUCUCGACCACAUACUCCUCACCAACGCUCUCUUCAUCUCAUUCUGAUUUCAAAUUUCAAACCAGCAUUCAAACUUCAAAUCUGAGCUCACUUCACUUUACUUUCAAAUCAGGUUACUGUCGUGCUACUCGGCGCUUAACUCUGCCUUUUGACAUCGUCUUUUGACAGAGCAAGUGAUGGAUUAAUUCAUCCAUUCUCUUCUCUUUUCUCUUUUCCGAAUUGAUGAAGAACACGCUUUGACUACGAAAAAAAAGAUGCGGUGUAUGGCCAAGUUGUUACUGUCUCUGACUUUGCCUGGGAAGUAUUUGACGAAAUGUCCAGGAGCAAUUGAUAAUUCGGUCGAUUUUUAGUUUUGAUAGACGAGCAGUUUUGAUCUCAUUAUGUGUUUUAAGUUACUGACUUGCACAAGGAUUAUAAUUCUGAUGAUAGGAUGUCUGAGUUGAGGAAAAGCUCAAGUAUGAUACAAUCGGUGGUGAGAGAGGUAGCUUUACUGUGUCCACUCAUCUUAAGAGAAAGAUGGUGGUUGGUGAUAGCAGUGGCCAGGGGAUUGUCAGAACAAUGCGUUACGGAUGUAAUAUAAACAAUUUUCUUCCUGAAGAAUCAUUUAAAAGCUGGGGAAAUUAUGGCAGGGUGUUAGGAAACACAAAAUCGUGGCUUACUGAUCGUCUCUUGACGCAAUCCAGUGAUGAAUCUGAGUUACACAAAAUGCGUGCUAGGUGCCAGAAUGAGAUGACGAAGUUGUUAAACUGGUUUGAUAUGAUGUGGUUUGGUUCUGUUUUGGGAGCUGGAGUUUUUUUCCUCACUGGACAAGCUGCUAGGGAUUAUGUUGGGCCUGCUGUCAUAAUAUCAUACCUCAUUUCAGGUUUGUCUGCUCUGCUUUCUGUCCUUUGUUAUACUGAAUUUUCUGUGGACCUUCCUGUUGCUGGAGGCUCAUUUUUAUUUUUAUUUUUUUGUGGUAAAUCUGGAGGCUCAUUUGUGUAUCUAAGAGUAGAGCUUGGUCAAAAGUCUAAUAUGAUUCA